GAUUAAAUGGCUGAAAAAUAGUGGUAGACUGUAAAUCUAUAAAUAAGAAUUUAUUCUUUUUAAUCA
rnacentral:tRNA from 1 species